rnacentral:tRNA from 1 species
GGAGAGGCUGUGGCUCAAUUGUACAGCAUUUGCUUGGCAAGCAGAAGGUUUUUGGUUCAAUCUCCAGGGUCUCCA